AUCAAUCAUUCCAAUACUUGUAAUCAUCAAUUAUUUUGGGUCUGCCGCAUUCCCUCCAUGUCUAAUUCACUUCAGUACACUCGAUCCAUCAUACUCUCCACUCAUAGUUUCCUAACAGAAAAUAGGAUGUAUGUGUGUUGAAUAGAAUAGGUAUGUGUACGUAAAGAUAUAGCUUUUCUUUUUGCUUCCAUCGUGGCUUUAUUUACACAGAAAUGGUUGUGUGUAAUAAUAAGGACAAAGUUGUGUUAAAUGAGAACAUCAAAGUUGAGUCUACCAAGAUAAAAAUGCGUAAAAGGGUCUUAAAUAUAAAGAACACAAUAACUCAACCUGAGUUCAACCGAUAAGCAAAAAUAACCGUAACAUACAAUCUCUUUGUGUCACACAAAAUUGAGUGCACACGUACCGUGUCCGUAUUACGUGCCUUAAUUAUAUUAUCUUUGCGUUGAUUAGUUCGAUAACUAUAUAUCUCCAAAACAUAGGUAGGUAGGUAGCUAUAUCUACGGGCUUACCGCAAAGAGAUUAAAAUAUAUAUACAUAUGUAGUUGACAGGCGACUAUAUCCAUGUGCACUGAUAAGCGCCGACCUUUAGCUAGCUUACUUCAUUAUGAGUGUGCAUGCAUGUAGGUACCUAUGCAUUAUGGAAGUCCCUAGCAGAUCCGUGUUGCAGUUUUAAGUAGGUACCUACGUAUAGUAAUGAACACGAGGAAAAAUUUAGUAUGCCCACGUGCAAUUAACUGUUUAAAAUGUUCUCUCUACAGAAAAUAAGUGAUACAAAAAAUGUAGGCAUUUCAUCCAUACCUACUGCAAAGCAAAUCAAGCAAUCCAAACAACGGCAAAGAUUGCCGUCGUUUUAGACGUCUGUGUAUAGGUACUGGAGUCCACCCAGGUUUCCGAUGAAAGAAAAUCAAAAGAGUUUUCAUUGUAUUUGAAAUCCCUUUAUUUUUUCUUGGGUUCGGUGGUUACAUCUACAUACAUUGUCAUGCCUAUUAAUAAAUAGCGUGGCUAAGGGUGAAUGAUUUUUUAUUUACUUGUUUAACGUAAAGUAGGGUAAACUGGGUACGGUUGUGCCAGGGUACGAUAGUGACAGUCGCAAUUGUAACGAAACUAUACGUAAUACGGGGGAGGGGUAUAAGGGAGAAAGACGUGGCUCACAAGCCUAAGCACGUUCCCCAAUAUUGCGUUAGCCGGCGCAGGACGUUGACGUAAGCAGGAGCCCACAUUGCUUUUCAACAAUCAAAAAUGUCCAGAAUACGUUUGUGGAAGACCGAAAGAGCGCAGUGUUAUAUCAAAAAAUAAAAAGAUGCUGAUGAAGAAGUGAAACAAGGGAUUUCGUACGUGUAGCUCAAGCUACAAGCCUUUCUACAGCUACAAGUUUUAACAGAGUAAAUGUUGUUUUGUUGAUUUUUAAAACUAUGUUUGUAAGCUUAUUAUGUUAAACAUUUCUACAAUAAAAGAUAUUAUAGACCA